GCCGGGUGUGGUGGCUCACACCUGUAAUCCCAGCACUUUGGGAGGCCAAGACAGGUGAAUCACCUGAGGUCGGGAGUUCUAGACCAGCCUGACCAACAUGGAGAAACCCUGUCUCUU
ensembl:misc_RNA Metazoa_SRP Metazoan signal recognition particle RNA